rnacentral:rRNA from 1 species
AGCAGUGGGGAAUAUUGGACAAUGGGCGCAAGCCUGAUCCAGCAAUGCCGCGUGUGUGAAGAAGGCCCGAGGGUUGUAAAGCACUUUCAAUUGUGAAGAAGUUAAUAAGCUUAAUACGCUUGUUAGUUGACGUUAACUUUAGAAGAAGCACCGGCUAACUCUGUGCCAGCAGCCGCGGUAAUACAGAGGGUGCGAGCGUUAAUCGGAAUUACUGGGCGUAAAGCGCGCGUAGGCGGUUAUUUAAGUCAGAUGUGAAAUCCCCGGGCUCAACCUGGGAACUGCAUCUGAUACUGGGUAACUAGAGUUUGGGAGAGGGAAGUAGAAUUUCAGGUGUAGCGGUGAAAUGCAUAGAGAUCUGAAGGAAUACCAGUGGCGAAGGCGACUUCCUGGCCUAAAACUGACGCUGAGGUGCGAAAGCGUGGGUAGCAAACGGGAUUAGAUACCCCGGUAGUCCACGCCGUAGACGAUGUCUACUAGUCGUUGGUCUCCUUGAGGGAUUAGUGACGCAGCUAACGCAUUAAGUAGACCGCCUGGGGAGUACGGUCGCAAGACUAAAACUCAAAGGAAUUGACGGGGGCCCGCACAAGCGGUGGA